AUUGAACGCUGGCGGCAGGCCUAACACAUGCAAGUCGAACGAGUGGCGGACGGGUGAGUAAUGUCUGGGAAACUGCCCGAUGGAGGGGGAUAACUACUGGAAACGGUAGCUAAUACCGCAUACCAUCGGAUGUGCCACGAUGGGAUUAGCUAGUAGGUGGGGUAACGGCUCACCUAGGCGACGAUCCCUAGCUGGUCUGAGAGGAGUACCAGCCAAACUGGAACUGAGACACGGUCCAGACUCAUACGGGAGGCAGAAGUGGGGAAUAUUGCACAAUGGGCGCAAGCCUGAUGCAGCCAUGCCGCGUGUAUGAAGAAGGCCGUCGGGGUGUAAAGUACUUUCAGCGGGGAGGCGUGACACGCAGAAGAAGCACCGGCUAACUCCGGGCCAGCAGCCGCGGUAAUAG
rnacentral:rRNA from 1 species